CCGGUCUGAACUCAGAUCACGUAAGAAUUUAAAAGUCGAACAGACUUAAAAUUUAAGCAGCUACACCUAAAAUUAUAUCUUAAUCCAACAUCGAGGUCGCAAUCUUUCUUAUCGAUAUGAACUCUCCAAAAAAAUUACGCUGUUAUCCCUAAAGUAACUUAUUUUUUUAAUCAUUAAUAAUGGAUCAAUUAUUCAUAAAUCAAUGUAUAAUAAAAUUAAAAGUUCAUUAAAUUUUAAUAUCACCCCAACAAAAUAUAAUCAAUUAUUAUAAUAAAAUUAAUCUAUAAAAUCAUAAUAAACCUUAUAUAAAGAUUUAUAGGGUCUUCUCGUCUUUUAAAUACAUUUUAGCUUUUUAACUAAAAAAUAAAAUUCUACUAUAAUUUUUUAUGAAACAGUUAAUAUUUCGUCCAACCAUUCAUACAAGCCCUCAAUUAAAAGACUAAUGAUUAUGCUACCUUUGCACAGUUAAUAUACUGCGGCCAUUCAACAAUUCAGCGGGCAGGUCAGACUUUUCAAUUAUCUCAAAAAGACAUGUUUUUGUUAAACAGGCG
rnacentral:rRNA from 1 species